UACGUAGGGGGCUAGCGUUGUCCGGAAUCAUUGGGCGUAAAGAGCGUGUAGGCGGCCCGGUAAGUCCGCUGUAAAAGUCAAAGGCUCAACCUUUGAAUGUCAGUGGAUACUGCCGGGCUAGAGACCGGAAGAGGUAAGUGGAACUGCGAGUGUAGCGGUGAAAUGCGCAGAUAUCAGGAAGAACACCAACGGCGAAGGCAGCUCGCUGGGACGGUACUGACGCUGAGACGCGAAAGCGUGGGGAGCGAACAGG
rnacentral:rRNA from 1 species